rnacentral:rRNA from 1 species
UACGGAGGGUGCGAGCGUUGUCCGGAAUCACUGGGCGUAAAGGGCGCGUAGGCGGUCUGCUAAGCGUGUGGUGAAAGCUCGGGGCUCAACCCUGAGUCUGCCAUGCGAACUGGUGGACUUGAGCACUGUAGAGGCAGGUGGAAUUCCGGGUGUAGCGGUGGAAUGCGUAGAGAUCCGGAAGAACACCAGUGGCGAAGGCGGCCUGCUGGGCAGUUGCUGACGCUAAAGCGCGACAGCGUGGGGAGCAAACAGG